rnacentral:rRNA from 1 species
CACACCGCCCGUCACAUNACGAAAGUGGGCCGUACUAGAAGUCGGUGCGCUAACCCGCAAGGGGAGUAGCCGACCAAGGUACAGCUCAUGAUUGGGGUG